rnacentral:rRNA from 1 species
CCUACGGGAGGCAGCAGUGGGGAAUAUUGGGCAAUGGGCGAAAGCCUGAUGCAGCAACGCCGCGUGAAGGAAGAAGGGUUUCGGGUCGUAAACUUCUUUCCACAGGGACGAAGGAAGUGACGGUACCUGAGUAAUAAGCCACGGCUAACUACGUGCCAGCAGCCGCGGUAAUACGUAGGUGGCAAGCGUUAUCCGGAUUUACUGGGUGUAAAGGGUGAGUAGGCGGGAAAGUAAGUCAGAUGUGAAAGCCAUGGGCUUAACCUGUGGCCUGCAUUUGAAACUGUUAUUCUAGAGUACAGGAGAGGAAAACGGAAUUCCUAGUGUAGCGGUGAAAUGCGUAGAUAUUAGGAAGAACACCAGUGGCGAAGGCGGUUUGCUGGACUGAAACUGACGCUGAGGCGCGAAAGCGUGGGGAGCAAACAGGAUUAGAUACCCCAGUAGUC